rnacentral:tRNA from 1 species
CAGGGAGACAACAAAAUGUUUAAUAUUAUUAUUUUGUCACCUUAGGUCGAUCGGUAUCUCACGUUCUUAAUUUGUUAAGAAUUUCAUUUCCUAAGUUUUUCUAGGUCACACCCAUUAUUUUUCCUGGGCCAUUAGCUCAGGUGGUUAGAGCGCACCCCUGAUAAGGGUGAGGUCCCUGGUUCAAGUCCAGGAUGGCCCAUAUCUCUAUGUUGGGGGUAUAGCUCAGUUGGUAGAGCGCCUGCUUUGCAAGCAGGAUGUCAGCGGUUCGAGUCCGCUUACCUCCACUGAUUACCACCUCUUACAUAACUGGUAAAAAGGAAAUGUUUUGAGUUGUGAUCAUUAUUCUGAACGAAUCUAGCUUCCUAAUGAAAUCAUUAAGAUGCUGGACUCAUUGAAUUAAUUUCAUUGUUUUCAGAGAACCUUGACAACUGCAUAGAUUAUUUUUAAAGACAAUAAGCAUCUUUAAUGAUGCAGAUUUAUUAUUUGUGCGAAUGCAUUAAUAACAAUUCUAUUAAGCUGAUGCUUCAAUUUUUUGAAGUUAUU